rnacentral:rRNA from 1 species
CCUACGGGUGGCAGCAGUGGGGAAUAUUGCACAAUGGGCGCAAGCCUGAUGCAGCCAUGCCGCGUGUGUGAAGAAGGCCUUCGGGUUGUAAAGCACUUUCAGCGGGGAGGAAGGCGUUAAGGUUAAUAACCUUGGCGAUUGACGUUACCCGCAGAAGAAGCACCGGCUAACUCCGUGCCAGCAGCCGCGGUAAUACGGAGGGUGCAAGCGUUAAUCGGAAUUACUGGGCGUAAAGCGCACGCAGGCGGUCUGUCAAGUCGGAUGUGAAAUCCCCGGGCUCAACCUGGGAACUGCAUUCGAAGCUGGCAGGCUAGAGUCUUGUAGAGGGGGGGAGAAUGCCAGGUGUAGCGGUGAAAUGCGUAGAGAUCUGGAGGAAUACCGGUGGCGAAGGCGGCCCCCUGGACAAAGACUGACGCUCAGGUGCGAAAGCGUGGGGAGCAAACAGGAUUAGAUACCCGAGUAGUC